CCGGCUAACUACGUGCCAGCAGCCGCGGUCAUACGUAGGGUCCAAGCAUUAUCCGGAUUGACUGGGUGUAAAGAGUUGCGUAGGUGGCAGGGUAAGUAGAUAGUGAAAUCUGGUGGCUCAACCAUUCAGACUAUUAUCUAAACUGCUCCGCUCGAGAACGUUAGGGGUAGCUGGAAUUUCUAGUGUAGGAGUGAAAUCCGUAGAUAUUAGAAAGAACACCGAUAGCGUAGGCAGGCUACUGGGACGUUUCUGACACUAAGGCACGAAAGCGUGGGGAGCAAACGGGAUUAGAUACCCCGGUAGUCCACGCUGUAAACGAUGGAUACUAGCAGUUCCCGGUAUCGACCCCGGAAGUUGCGAAGCUAACGCGUUAAGUAUCCCACCUGUGUAGUACGAUCGCAAGAUUAAAACAUAAAGGAAUUGACGGGGACCCGCACAAGCGGUGGAGCGUGAUCUUUAAUUCGAUGGUAAACGAUAAACCUUACCAAGGCUUGACAUCUCGAGAAGGCUUCCGAAAGGAAACUGUGCCCUUGGGAACUCGAAGACAGGUGAUGCAUGGCCGUCGUCAGCUCGUGUCGUGAGAUGUUUGGUUAAGUCCAUCAACGAGCGCAACCCUUGCAACCAGUUGUAUUUUUCUGGUAGGACUGCCCCGGUAACGGGGAGGAAGGAGGGGAUGAUGUCAGGUCAGUAUUUCCCUUACGCCUUGGGCUAGAAUCGCGCUACAAUGGCCGGUACAAUGCGAAGCGAAGCAGUGAUGUGAAGCAAAUCGCACCAAAGCCGGUCCCAGUUCGGAUUGAAGGCUGAAACUCGCCUUCAUGAAGUCGGAAUCGCUAGUAAUCGCAGAUCAGCAUGUUGCGGUGAAUACGUUCCCGGGUCUUGCACACACCGCCCG
rnacentral:rRNA from 1 species